rnacentral:rRNA from 1 species
GAUGAACGCUGGCGGCGUGCCUAACACAUGCAAGUCGAGCGAACAGACGAUGAGCUUGCUCCUCUUACGUUAGCGGCGGACGGGUGAGUAACACGUGGAUAACCCCCCUAUAAGACUGGGAUAACUUCGGGAAACCGGAGCUAAUACCGGAUAAUAUAUUCAACCGACUGGUUCAUUAGUGAAAGACGGAUUUGCUGUCACUGAUAGAUGGAUCCGCGCCGCAUUAGCUAGUUGGUAAGGUAACGGCCUACCAAGGCAACGAUCGGUAGCCGAGCUGAGAGGGAGAACGGCCACACAGAAUCUGAGAGACGGUCCAGACACCUACGGAAGGCAGGCAGAGGGAAUGUACCGCAAUGGGCGAGAGCCUGACGGAGCAACGCAGGGUGAGUGAUGAAGGUCUUCGGUAUGGAAAGCAAUGCUAUUAGGGAAGAACAAAUGUGUAAGUACCUAUGCACGUCUGGACGGUACCUAAGAAGAAAGCCACGGCGAAUUACGU